UAGAACAUUUGGAACGAUUUCGUAGUUUUCUCAGAAUGAGAUCGUCAUUGCGUGAUAAAUGUAUUACCAAUUCGAAGGUGGUGGCAUCUGCAGAGAAUCCUUUAUCGACCAUUUCAUCAAUAAGCUGUGUUGCCUUUACAUAGAGCAUUUACUAUCACAUUGUAGGUAUGAACAUUAGGUUGAUAUCCUCCAGUAACCAUAUCAUUGAAAAAAUCUACUGCUCCAUUGAUUUUACCAUCUAUGCAGAGCCCAUUAAUUAAGGUAGUAAAUGUCACAGUAUUGGGUUCCAAUCCAAAUUUGAUAAAUUUCCCCAA
rnacentral:misc_RNA from 1 species